rnacentral:rRNA from 1 species
UGGGGAAUAUUGCACAAUGGGCGCAAGCCUGAUGCAGCCAUGCCGCGUGUAUGAAGAAGGCCUUCGGGUUGUAAAGUACUUUCAGCGAGGAGGAAGGCAGUAAGGUUAAUAACCUUAUCGAUUGACGUUACUCGCAGAAGAAGCACCGGCUAACUCCGUGCCAGCAGCCGCGGUAAUACGGAGGGUGCAAGCGUUAAUCGGAAUUACUGGGCGUAAAGCGCACGCAGGCGGUCUGUCAAGUCGGAUGUGAAAUCCCCGGGCUCAACCUGGGAACUGCAUUCGAAACUGGCAGGCUAGAGUCUUGUAGAGGGGGGUAGAAUUCCAGGUGUAGCGGUGAAAUGCGUAGAGAUCUGGAGGAAUACCGGUGGCGAAGGCGGCCCCCUGGACAAAGACUGACGCUCAGGUGCGAAAGCGUGGGGAGCAAACA